GAUGAACGCUGGCUACAGGCUUAACACAUGCAAGUCGAGGGGAAACGACGGGGAAGCUUGCUUCCCCGGGCGUCGACCGGCGCACGGGUGAGUAACGCGUAUCCAACCUGCCUCUGACUGAGGGAUAACCCGUCGAAAGUCGGCCUAAUACCUCAUGGUAUCGUCUGCGGGCAUCCAACGACGAUUAAAGAUUUCAUCGGUCAGGGAUGGGGAUGCGUCUGAUUAGCUUGGUGGCGGGGUAACGGCCCACCAAGGCUACGAUCAGUAGGGGUUCUGAGAGGAAGGUCCCCCACAUGGGAACUGAGACACGGUCCAAACUCCUACGGGAGGCAGCAGUGCGGAAUAUUGGUCAAUGGGAGAGAGCCUGAACCAGCCAAGUAGCGUGCAGGAAGACGGCCCUAUGGGUUGUAAACUGCUUUUAUGCGGGGAUAAAGUGAGGGACGUGUCCCUCAUUGCAGGUACCGCAUGAAUAAGGACCGGCUAAUUCCGUG
rnacentral:rRNA from 1 species